rnacentral:rRNA from 1 species
AUUGAACGCUGGCGGCAGGCUUAACACAUGCAAGUCGAGCGGGGUGAUGGUGCUUGCACUAUCACUUAGCGGCGGACGGGUGAGUAAUGCUUAGGAAUCUGCCUAUUAGUGGGGGACAACAUCUCGAAAGGGAUGCUAAUACCGCAUACGUCCUACGGGAGAAAGCAGGGGAUCACUUGUGACCUUGCGCUAAUAGAUGAGCCUAAGUCGGAUUAGCUAGUUGGUGGGGUAAGGGCCUACCAAGGCGACGAUCUGUAGCGGGUCUGAGAGGAUGAUCCGCCACACUGGGGCUGGGACACGGCCCAGACUCCUACGGGAGGCAGCAGUGGGGAAUAUUGGACAAUGGGGGGAACCCUGAUCCAGCCAUGCCGCGUGUGUGAAGAAGGCCUUAUGGUUGUAAAGCACUUUAAGCGAGGAGGAGGCUCUUUUGGUUAAUACCCAAGAUGAGUGGACGUUACUCGCAGAAUAAGCACCGGCUAACUCUGUGCCAGCCGCCGCUGUAA